GAAACGCGAUAGUUAAUGUGAAUUGCAGAAUUCAGUGAAUCAUCGAGUCUUUGAACGCACAUUGCACCCAUAGGUAUUCCUUUGGGCAUGUCUGUUUGAGCGUCAUUACAACCCUCAGCUAACCGCUGGUUUUGAACCUGAACGGGUGACACCGCGCCGGUUUUAAAGUUGUAAGCUCUGCUGGCCGCUCUGCCCAACCAGAACAUAGUAAGCACUACUUGUCCGGGUGAAGCUGAACGGUACGGCCUGAACAAAACCUACCCACUCUCAAGGUUUGACCUCAGAUCAGACAAGGAUACCCGCUGAACUUAAGC
rnacentral:misc_RNA from 1 species